GAACUUCAGCGAGCGCACCUCGCCGCCGCCAGGCCGCCUAGGUCAUGCAGAGAGCGGGUUCCGGGUCGAGGGCCGCGACCGGCCGCGGGGGAUCGUGGGAAGGUUUGGCCUAGAGGCCCCUUCGCGCUGGAGGGGGGGUCACGGCGCUCCGGUGCUGGUGGGGUGGGGCAGAGACCGCUGUCGGCAUCGGGCCGUACGUGGGGGUCCCGGUGCCGGCGGCCUCUGUUCCAUCCCCGGGGUGCAGCGCCAGGGUAGUGGCAUAAAGGAUCCGGGUGAGGGUGGCCCGCGUGAGGCACUGUGGGAGAAGUGGACAAGAUGGCGGACGCCUUUGGAGAUGAGCUCUUCAGCGUGUUCGAGCAGCCGGCCGCCGCGUCUGCCGCCAGGAAGAGCAAAGCGUCCGUCAUUGAUGGCGUCAGGACACCGGGAAAACGAUCAGAAGCAAAGUCCUCAGCAGUUGCAACAGCAAAGCCAAAAAGGAAAGCUGAGGUCAAUCAUACCGAAAAUGCUGUUUUGGGAAAGAAGCCAAAACUGGAAGAUGGAUUAGAAGAUGUCAAUCUGGCAGACGUGAUGCCUCGGGUAAAGGUACAAGCUGUGGAAACUGUUGAAGGUUGUACACAUGAGGUUGCACUUCCAGCAAAUGAAGAGUUCACAGGUCUGAAGCCGAGAACUGGGAAAGCUGCAAAAGAAUAUCCGUUUAUUCUUGAUGCUUUUCAAAGGGAGGCUAUUCUUUGUGUGGAUAAUAAGCAGUCUGUGUUAGUGUCAGCUCAUACAUCAGCUGGUAAAACUGUUUGUGCAGAGUAUGCAAUUGCCCUGGCUUUGAGGGAUAAACAGCGUGUAAUAUUUACAAGUCCAAUUAAAGCUUUGAGUAAUCAGAAGUACCGUGAGAUGUAUGAAGAAUUUCAGGAUGUUGGUUUGAUGACUGGGGAUGUCACCAUUAAUCCUACAGCUUCUUGUUUGGUAAUGACAACUGAGAUUUUGAGAAGCAUGCUCUACAGAGGUUCUGAGGUUAUGCGGGAAGUUGCAUGGGUUAUUUUUGAUGAAAUCCACUACAUGAGAGAUUCGGAACGUGGUGUUGUUUGGGAAGAGACAAUUAUUUUGCUUCCUGACAAUGUUCAUUAUGUCUUCCUUUCCGCAACUAUUCCAAAUGCUCGCCAGUUUGCUGAAUGGAUCUGCCAUCUUCACAAACAGCCUUGCCAUGUGAUUUACACUGACUAUCGGCCCACUCCACUGCAACAUUAUAUAUUCCCAGCAGGAGGAGAUGGACUCCAUCUGGUGGUUGAUGAAAAUGGAGAUUUCAGAGAAGAUAAUUUUAAUACAGCAAUGCAAGUGCUUAGAGAUGCAGGAGACUUAGCAAAAGGAGACCAGAAAGGCAGGAAAGGAGGAACGAAAGGUCCUUCAAAUGUUUUUAAGAUUGUGAAGAUGAUCAUGGAAAGGAAUUUCCAACCAGUGAUUAUUUUCAGCUUCAGUAAGAAAGACUGUGAAGCCUAUGCACUUCAGAUGACAAAGUUAGAUUUCAAUACAGAUGAAGAAAAAAAGAUGGUUGAAGAAGUGUUCAAUAAUGCGAUUGAUUGUCUAUCAGAUGAAGACAAAAAGCUUCCUCAGGUUGAGCAUGUACUUCCACUUCUGAAGCGAGGAAUUGGUAUCCAUCACGGUGGUCUGCUUCCUAUUUUAAAAGAAACCAUAGAAAUUCUUUUCUCUGAGGGCCUAAUAAAGGCCUUAUUUGCCACAGAGACUUUUGCUAUGGGAAUUAAUAUGCCAGCCAGGACUGUGCUAUUUACGAGCGCCAGCAAAUUUGAUGGGAAAGAUUUCCGAUGGAUAUCCUCAGGUGAAUACAUUCAAAUGUCAGGUCGUGCAGGACGCCGAGGUAUGGAUGACAGAGGAAUCGUAAUUCUUAUGGUGGAUGAAAAAAUGAGUCCAACAAUUGGCAAGCAGCUCUUGAAGGGUUCAGCUGAUCCUUUAAACAGUGCAUUCCACCUGACAUACAACAUGGUAUUGAACUUGCUUCGAGUAGAGGAAAUUAACCCUGAAUACAUGUUAGAAAAAUCCUUCUAUCAGUUCCAACAUUACAGAACUAUUCCAGAAAUAGUAGAAAGAGUGAAUAAGUUGGAAGGACUAUACAACAAAAUAGUCAUUCCCAAUGAAGAAAAUGUGGUCAUAUACUACAAAAUCCGACAGCAGCUUGCAAAAAUGAGUAGAGAGAUUGAAGAGUAUGUUCACAAACCAAAGUACUGCCUGCCGUUUCUACAGCCAGGAAGACUGGUAAAGGUGAAGAACGAAGAUAAUGACUUUGGAUGGGGAGUGGUUGUUAAUUUCUCUAAGAAAUCGAAUGUUAAGCCAAAUUCUGGUGAAUUGGACUCGUUAUAUGUAGUUGAAGUGCUACUGUACUGCAGCAAAGACAGUUUGAAAAAUUCUGCUACUGAGUCCGCAAAGCCAGUCAGUCUUGAUGAGAAAGGAGAGAUGCAGGUUGUUCCUAUUUUGGUACAUCUUGUCGCAGCUAUCAGCAGUGUCCGACUUUACAUACCGAAAGACCUGCGGCCUGUUGACAACAGACAAAGUGUGCUAAAAUCUAUACAAGAAGUACAGAAGCGAUUUCCCGAUGGAGUACCAUUACUAGACCCUAUUGAUGACAUGGGCAUCAAAGAUCAAGGACUGAAAAAAAUAAUCCAAAAAGUAGAGGCAUUUGAGCAUAGGAUGUAUUCACAUCCUCUUCACAAUGAUCCCAACUUGGAAACCAUAUACAAACUUUGUGAAAAAAAAGCACAGAUUGCUGUAGAUAUCAAAGCAGCAAAGCGAGAACUGAAAAAAGCUAGAACUGUCUUGCAAAUGGAUGAACUCAAGUGCCGCAAGCGUGUUUUGAGAAGACUGGGGUUUGCCACGUCUUCAGAUGUUAUUGAGAUGAAAGGGCGGGUUGCUUGUGAAAUCAGCAGUUCUGAAACCACUGGAAGAAAGAUUGAUCAGAGACUGUGACCUGUGUCAUAAAGGGAGUAUGCUGAUUGAAGCGAUAAAGAUGGCAACUUAAGGACAAAAUACAACAGCAAGUGGGGAAGCCGAAUCAGAAUUUUACCAACUUCCUGACUUUCAGGAACUGUUUGCUGACAAGUUACACUUUUCCUUUGCUGAUGAACUCCUCCUGACAGAGAUGAUGUUCAAUGGUAUCUUCAACGACUUAUCUCCAGAACAGACAGCUGCACUACUAAGCUGUUUUGUAUUUCAAGAGAAUUCCAGUGAGAUGCCAAAGCUGACAGAGCAGUUGGCAGGACCACUUCGGCAAAUGCAGGAGUGUGCAAAAAGAAUUGCCAAGGUGUCAGCAGAAGCAAAACUGGAAAUUGAUGAAGAAAAUUACUUGAAUUCCUUCAGACCCAACCUCAUGGAUGUUGUCCAUACAUGGGCAAAUGGUGCUAACUUUGCUCACAUCUGCAAAAUGACUGAUGUCUUUGAAGGUAGCAUAAUUCGUUGCAUGAGAAGGUUGGAAGAAUUGCUGCGGCAGAUGUGCCAAGCUGCAAAAGCCAUUGGAAACACAGAGCUGGAGAACAAGUUUGCAGAGGGGAUUACAAAAAUCAAGAGAGAUAUUGUCUUUGCUGCAAGCCUUUACCUGUAACAGGUUGUCUUCCAGAAGCAGCUCAAGAGCCACCUUACGGGGAAAUUAAUCACACGAUACUUCCAUUUCAAUAAUUUUUUUUAAUGGAGCGUAUUUUAACCACAGUUAUUUUAAUAAGGCAUGUACAAACAGUAUAUGUAAUAUAACUGUUACCAUGUUUUCAAUAAAAAUUUACAAUUUGAA